rnacentral:misc_RNA from 1 species
GAUGAAGAACGCAGCAAAAUGCGAUAAGUAAUGUGAAUUGCAGAAUUCAGUGAAUCAUCGAAUCUUUGAACGCACAUUGCGCCCGCCAGUAUUCUGGCGGGCAUGCCUGUUCGAGCGUCAUUUCAACCCUCAAGCCCAGCUUGGUGUUGGGGAUCGGCACAGGCGCCCUCGGGCGCCCGCCGUCCCCUAAAUCUAGUGGCGGUCCCGCUGCAGCCUCCUCUGCGUAGUAGUUUUCUCCUCGCAAGGGCAGCUCGGUGGCGACCUCGCCGUAAAACCCCCAACUUCUGAAAGGUUGACCUCGAAUCAGGUAGGAAUACCCGCUGAACUUAAGCAUAUCAAUAAGCGGAGGA